rnacentral:rRNA from 1 species
UACGUAGGGGGCUAGCGUUGUCCGGAUUUAUUGGGCGUAAAGAGCGUGUAGGCGGCCAGGUAGGUCUGCUGUGAAAACUCGAGGCUCAACCUCGAGACGUCGGCGGAAACCAUCUGGCUAGAGUCCGGAAGAGGAGAGUGGAAUUCCUGGUGUGGCGGUGAAAUGCGCAGAUAUCAGGAAGAACACCCGUGGCUAAGGCGGUUCUCUAGUACGGUACUGACGCUGAGACGCGAAAGCGUGGGGAGCGAACAGG